rnacentral:rRNA from 1 species
GUAGCUAACGCGUUAAGCACUCCGCCUGGGGACUACGGUCGCAAGACUAAAACUCAAAGGAAUUGACGGGGACCCGCACAAGCGGUGGAGCAUGUGGUUUAAUUCGAUGCAACGCGAAAAACCUUACCACUCCUUGACAUGGAGAUUAGAUCCUUCUUAACGGAAGGGCGCAGUUCGGCUGGAUCUCGCACAGGUGCUGCAUGGCUGUCGUCAGCUCGUGUCGUGAGAUGUUGGGUUAAGUCCCGCAACGAGCGUAACCCUCAUCCUUAGUUGCCAGCGGGUUAAGCCGGGCACUUUAAGGAAACUGCCAGUGGUAAACUGGAGGAAGGUGGGGAUGAUGUCAAGUCAGCACGGCCCUUAUGGGGUGGGCUACACACGUGCUACAAUGGUGACUACAAUAGGUUGCAAUGUCGCAAGGCUGAGCUAAUCCGUAAAAGUCAUCUCAGUUCGGAUUGUCCUCUGCAACUCGAGGGCAUGAAGUCGGAAUCGCUAGUAAUCGUGGAUCAGCAUGCCACGGUGAAUACGUUCUCGGGUCUUGUACACACUGCCCGUCACGCCAUGGGAAUUGGCUUAACUCGAAGCU